rnacentral:rRNA from 1 species
AUUGAACGCUGGCGGCAGGCCUAACACCUGCAAGUCGAGCGGCGAGACGGACGGGUGAGUAAAGCCUAGGAAUCAGACUGGUAGAGGGGGAUAACGUCAGGAAACGGGCGCUAUUACUGCAUACUAUAAGAAGAGGAUAGUUCGGAUUAGCGAGUUGGUGGGGUAAAGGCCUACCAAGGCGACGAUCCGUAACUGGUCUGAGAGGAUGAUCAGUCACACUGGAACUGAGACACGGUCCAGAAUCCUACGGGAGGCAGCAGUGGGGAAUAUUGCACAAGGGGCGAAAGCCUGAGCCAGCCAUGCCGCGUGUGUGAAGAAGGUCUUAGGAUUGUAAAGCACUUUAAGUUGGGAGGCGUUACCAACAGAAUAAGCACCGGCUAACUCCGUGCCAGCAGCCGCGGUAAUUC